GAAGAGGUAACGAACAGAGAGGUGGAGAGAGAGAGAAGAGGUAACGAACAGAGAGGUGGAGAGAGAGAAGAGGUAACGAACAGAGAGGUGGAGAGAGAGAGGAGAGGUAACGAACAGAGAGGUGGAGAGAGAGAGGAGAGGUAACGAACAGAGAGGUGGAGAGAGAGAAGAGGUAACGAACAGAGAGGUGGAGAGAGAGAGGAGAGGUAACGAACAGAGAGGUGGAGAGAGAGAGAGAAGAGGUAACGAACAGAGAGGUGGAGAGAGAGAGGAGAGGUAACGAACAGAGAGGUGGAGAGAGAGAGAGAAGAGGUAACGAACAGAGAGGUGGAGAGAGAGAGAGGAGAGGUAACGAACAGAGAGGUGGAGAGAGAGAGAAGAGGUAACGAACAGAGGUGGAGAGAGAGGAGAGGUAACGAACAGAGAGGUGGAGAGAGAGAGAAGAGGUAACGAACAGAGAGGUGGAGAGAGAGAGAAGAGGUAACGAACAGAGAGGUGGAGAGAGAGAGGAGAGGUAACGAACAGAGAGGUGGAGAGAGAGAGAAGAGGUAACGAACAGAGAGGUGGAGAGAGAGAGGAGAGGUAACGAACAGAGAGGUGGAGAGAGAGAGGAGAGGUAACGAACAGAGAGGUGGAGAGAGAGAGAAGAGGUAACGAACAGAGAGGUGGAGAGAGAGAGAGAAGAGGUAACGAACAGAGAGGUAGAGAGAGAAGAGGUAACGAACAGAGAGGUGGAGAGAGAGAGAAGAGGUAACGAACAGAGAGGUGGAGAGAGAGAGAGAACAGAGAGAUGGACAGAGAGAGAAGAGGUAACGAACAGAGAGGUGGAGAGAGAGAAGAGGUAACGAACAGAGAGGUGGAGAGAGAGAGAGAACAGAGAGAUGGACAGAGAGAGAAGAGGUAACGAACAGAGAGGUGGAGAGAGAGAGAAGAGGUAACGAACAGAGAGGUGGAGAGAGAGAGAGAGAGAAGAGGUAACGAACAGAGAGGUGGGAGAGA